GCUGUGGAUGAGAGCCAAGCAGGGUUAUCAUCAUGCAACAAGACACAGAGGAGCGGAGAUGGAGAGGAAGAUGAACUACGACUGAUGCUUCUUGACAGACACAAGUUUAUUACCUGAAGAGUAUCCUCAGGAUGUUUGCCACCAGCAGGACCAUGCACACGUAGGUGGAGAAGCCCUCUGCAUUCUGGGUCCUGCGGAUGUCCCUGUACUGCGGGAUGUAGGGGACCACCCCACCGAACACCAUGGCACCGGCAGCGACCCACGCAACCAGUGUGUUAAACACGGACAGGAUCUGGUCAAACACCUCAUCUUCCAUGCUGCUCGCCGGCGAGAGAAGUGAGGAGGUGUGAACUGGCUGUCAGUGGCUCUGGAGACUAUUUUCGGGUGUUUAUCCUACUCUGGCUCCUGGCGGCGGCUUUGAGGCUGGGAGAGGAAAAUCCGUAUUGUCCACGCAUGACUGAGAAGCGGCGGCUAACGCCACGCCAUCACAGAGCCGGAAAGCACAAAUGACGGAGCAGGUGGAAACAGCAAGCAGGAAGCACGGUAAAUUCACGAUAAAGCAGCGGCUGUAUUAUCGCUGGAGGAGGCAGUGACCGAUAACGCUGCUCUGGAGGAAGCACCGCAGCUAUCCGGGUGUUACAGGGACGAGGAGCGAGCUUUUGAUCCACACAGACACGUGGGAGGUUCCUCUGCAUCUUCAGACUCACUUCAGACUCAUAUACACAGAGUUAGCAGUUGUUGCUGGUCCACCUGUGAGUCACUGAUGCUCCUCAGUGGGCUGAGCCUCACCAACAGCUGGAUGAGCAGAUCCUCCAGCAGGUCACUGCUGACAGUCACUGCAGCAGGCAGAGGAGGCUGGGACCUGAGAGAGGAGCUGUGGAUCAGCUCAGUGCUGGUGGAGCUCUGAGUGUCUGCUCUCUCCAAAUUGUUUGAUAUGUCGGACUUCAUGUUCUUGAAAAGUAAUUAGAUAAACGAGGAUCACAGACUAUUCAGGUCACACCUUGGCAUUUGUUUGAACUUUUCUUGCAUCAUGCUUUUUCUACCUCAAUACUUGUUUAAACAUAAGGUGGGACACCUGGUCCCCCCCCCAGUCACAGGUUUGGUCUGUGUGCUGGGAGUUCACUGACUUUUCAUAUGGUGAGAUGAUGUUUUAUUUGGUGUUUUCUGUGGUUUUUGGUUUGUAGAACACUUUCAGUGCUCCAUCAGUAAGUGAUCGGCU